CGUUGUACAUGCAUUCCAGAAAAUCCCCAAUCGAGCGCAGCAGCAGCGAGAGUAACCUAGCCAUCGCCGGCUCGCCGCCACAGAGCUCCGCCUCGCCGGACCGUCGGCUUGUCGCCGAAGAGCUCUGCCUCGCCGGGCCACCGGUCGCGGGCACCUGAUCCACAUCCGCCGUUCGCCGGUCCACGUAUGGGCGAACGGAAAGAAGCAGCGGUGCCGAGCGUGGCCCAUAUGGGAGGAGGCAGCGGCGGCAGUGGAUCGAGAUCGAGCUCAUGCAAACGCGCAACUGCUGUUUGCAAAAUCAGCAAGCGCAACCAGCAGGGAAUCUUUAAAAAGAUGAAGCCAAUUGCUGCUUAUUUUGGAACUCCACCAUGUAAUGAAUUUCAAGCUCCUGUUCAUGGAUGGGUAUAAAAAUUGGAAGAAAGCGAUGGAAUAUUUCAGGCU